AACGGCCAUGCCAUGCUGAAUAUACCGGUUCUCGUUUGAUCACCAAAGUCAAGCAUCAUCGGGCGCGCUCAGUACUUGGGAGGGUGCC
rnacentral:rRNA from 1 species